rnacentral:rRNA from 1 species
ACAGCAGUAGCCGCGGGAAAACGUAGGUGGCAAGCGUUGUCCGGAAUUAUUGGGCGUAAAGGGCUCGCGGGCGGUUUCUUAAGUCUGAUGUGAAAGCCCCCGGCUCAACCGGGGAGGGUCAUUGGAAACUGGGAAACUUGAGUGCAGAAGAGGAGAGUGGAAUUCCACGUGUAGCGGUGAAAUGCGUAGAAAUGUGGAGGAACACCAGUGGCGAAGGCGACUCUCUGGUCUGUAACUGACGCUGAGGAGCGAAAGCGUGGGGAGCGAACAGGAUUAGAUACCCCUGUAGUCCCUGUCUCUUAUAC